GUAGUCAUAUGCUUGUCUCAAAGAUUAAGCCAUGCAUGUCUAAGUAUAAGCAACUUGUACUGUGAAACUGCGAAUGGCUCAUUAAAUCAGUUAUCGUUUAUUUGAUAGUACCUUACUACAUGGAUACCUGUGGUAAUUCUAGAGCUAAUACAUGCUAAAAACCCCGACUUCAGGAAGGGGUGUAUUUAUUAGAUAAAAAACCAACGCCCCUCGGAGCUCCUUGGUGAAUCAUAAUAACUUAACGAAUCGCAUGGCCUUGCGCCGGCGAUGGUUCAUUCAAAUUUCUGCCCUAUCAACUUUCGAUGGUAGGAUAGUGGCCUACCAUGGUGGCAACGGGUAACGGGGAAU
rnacentral:rRNA from 1 species